rnacentral:rRNA from 1 species
UGGCUCAGGAUGAACGCUGGCGGUAUGCUUAACACAUGCAAGUCGAACGAACGUUUUCGGACGUUAGUGGCGGACGGGUGAGUAACGCGUGAGAAUCUACCUUCAGGUUGGGGAUAACAGACGGAAACGACUGCUAAUACCCAAUAUACCGAGAGGAGAAAGGCUAGCUGCCUGAAGAUGAGCUCGCGUCCGAUUAGCUAGUUGGUGAGGUAAGGGCUUACCAAGGCGAUGAUCGGUAGCUGGUCUGAGAGGAUGAUCAGCCACACUGGGACUGAGACACGGCCCAGACUCCUACGGGAGGCAGCAGUGGGGAAUUUUCCGCAAUGGGCGAAAGCCUGACGGAGCAAUACCGCGUGAGGGACGAAGGCCUGUGGGGUUGUAAACCUCUUUUCUCAGGGGAAGAAGUUCUGACGGGUACCUGAGGGAAUCAAGCAUCGGGCUAAACUCCGUGCCAGCCCGCCGCCGUAAU